rnacentral:piRNA from 1 species
UAUCUUUCUUCAGUAAAGCUAGGUCUCAGUC